GACGAACGCUGGCGGCGUGCUUAACACAUGCAAGUCGAGCGGUAAGGCCCUUUCGGGGUACGACGAGCGGCGAACGGGUGAGUAACACGUGGGUGACCUCGCCCUCCAGCUCUGGGAGUAAGCCCGGGAAACCUGGGUCUAAUACCGGAUAUGACUUCAUGACGCAUGUUGUGGAGUGGAAAGCCUCGUGCGGCUGAGGAUGGGCCCGCGGCCUAUCAGCUUGUUGGUGGGGUGA
rnacentral:rRNA from 1 species